UACAGGGGUUGCAAACGUUGCUCGGAAUUAUUGGGCGUAAAGCGCGCGUAGGCGGCCACUUAAGUCGGAUGUGAAAGCCCCUGGCUCAACUGGGGAAGUGCACCCGAAACUGAAUGGCUUGAGUGCGAAAGAGGGUCGCGGAAUUCCCGGUGUAGAGGUGAAAUUCGUAGAUAUCGGGAGGAACACCGGUGGCGAAGGCGGCGACCUGGGUCGACACUGACGCUGAGGCGCGAAAGCGUGGGGAGCAAACAGG
rnacentral:rRNA from 1 species